rnacentral:misc_RNA from 1 species
UUUCCGUAGGUGAACCUGCGGAAGGAUCAUUACUGAGUGAGGGUCUCCGGGCCCGACCUCCAACCCUUUGUGAACCAAACUUGUUGCUUCGGGGGCGACCCCGCCGUUUCGGCGGUGGCGCUCCCGGAGGCCAUUAAACACUGCAUCAUUGCGUCGGAGUUAAAGUAAAUUAAACAAAACUUUCAACAACGGAUCUCUUGGUUCCAGCAUCGAUGAAGAACGCAGC